GUGCAAAAACCCCUUGGAGCGUUGGGCUGAACUGGACUCACCUUGGGGACAUCGCUUAAAUGAAUACACUAAAAUGGACUUAUCCUGGCCAGGUGUGGUGGCUCAUGUCUGUAAUCCUAGCACUUUGGGAGACCGAGGCAGGUGGAUCACCUGAGGUCAGGAGUUCGAGACCAGCCUGGCCAACAUGGCGAAACCUCAUUUCUACUAAAAACAUAAAAAUCAGCCAGGCGUGGUGGCAGGUGCCUGAAAUCCCAGCUACUUGGGAGGCUGAGGCAGGAGAAUCACUUGAACCCAGAGGGUGGAGGCUGCAGUGAGCCAAGAUCAUGCCACUUCACUCCAGGCUGGGCAAAAAGAGCAAAACUCCGUCUCAAAAUAAAUAAAUAAAAUAAAAUAAAAUGGACUUAUUCCACUGCAUCUGGAAAUCUGUAAAAUUUCAGAUGCAUAUAUUUUCCAAAAACUAUGAGCUCCCAACAUUUAGGAAAUGUUAGGUUGUAUAAAGCAACAAAAUUAAACAUGGUUAAGGUUACGAAUGAUGGACCAAAUAUGUGCCGAAUUUUUGUUUGUUUUAGAGAUAGGGUCUCACUCUGUCACCCAGAGUGCAGUGGCGCAAUCACAGCUCACUGCAACCUCAAACUCAUGGGCUCAAGCGAUCCUCCUGCCUCAGCCUCCUGAGUAGCUGGGACCACAGGUGUGCACCACUAUGCCCAGCUAAGUUUUUAUUUAUUUUUUUAGAGGUGGGAUCUCACUAUGUUGCCCAGGCUGGUCUCAAAUUCCUGUCCUCCUGCCUUAGCUUCCUGAGUAGCUAGGAUUACAGGUAUGAGCCACUGCACCUGGCUAUGUGUUGAAUUUUUUUUAAAGCAGUCGUAAAUACACACGGUUGGUCAGAAACUCAUAUCUGUGGUUCACCACGAUCCCCUCGGCCUCGUUGAAUGGAACAUCCCCUGCCCACCCCCAGUGGCCUGACGUGGACCCCACCUAGACACGGGAAGGAAGUUGAACUAGGCUGUCAGGUGCCUCCCUCCUAACCCAGGACCCACCACACAAAGGCUCAGUGGACUUGUGAGGGAUCACUUAGCUUGUUUUUUUUCUGUUUUUUUUUUUUUUUAUUAACUGGCCUAAGAACAUGGAUACUUUUAAAGCUAUAAAUACUGUUAACAGUUUUAAAAGUGUCUUCAAAGAGGUAAGUGCUAGGAUCGGCCUUUCUCAGCCUGCUGUCCUCAGAAGCCCUUGCAGAGUGUAGAGGAUCAUAAGAGGGUUUUGAGAAAAGGGGACCUUUCAUCCCUGCAAGGUCUGAGAAAAGAGAAAAAUUAAUAAAUAGUAAAGAAAAAAAGAAAAAGGAAUUAAGUAAGUUUAGAGGAACUGCAUUAAGCAAAGUCAAAUUUAUUUUCCAUAGGAAUUCUCAGAACUUUUAACAUGCAGACAUGAGGCCGGGCACGGUGGCUCAUGCCUAUAAUCCCAGCACUUAGGGAGGCCAAGAUGGGAGGAUUGCUUGAGCACAGGAGUUUGAGACCAACCUGGGCAUAGUGAGACCUCGUCUCUACAAAAAAAAUAAUAAAAAUUAGCCAGGUGUGGCAGUGUGUGCCUGUGGCCUCAGGUACACGAGAGGCUGAGGCAGAAGAUCACUUGAACCCAGAAGAUCGAGGCUGCAGUAAGCAGUGAUCGCACCACUGCACUCCAGCCUGGGCAACAGAGCGAGGCUCAAAAAAUAAAAAAUAAAAAAACAAAACAACAAACAUGCAGACAUGCACCAUGAACCUCAAAGAAGGGAGGUACAAGUGAAGGGGGCUUCCUGGACAGACUGGAUCACAAGUCAUGGCACAGCACAAACAAGGUCCCUUCUAACAAAAUGGCCAUCUACGACCACUUAAAAUCACUUAUAAGUACAGGCUGAGUAUUCCUCAUCCCAAAUGCUUGGUAUCAGAAGAGUUUCAGAUUUCAGAUUUUUUUUUUUUUUUUUUCAGAUGGGGUUUUCACUGUGGAGGCUAAGGCAUGAGAAUCUUGUGAAUCCAGAGGGCAGAGGCUGCAGUGAGCCAAGAUCAUGUCACUGCACUCCAGCCUGGGCAAGAGUUAGACUCUGUCUCCAAAAAAAAAAAAAAAAAACUCUGAUUAAGGCCUUUAGUCAAAGUUACACCAAUGUCUACUUUGUUACAUUAAUAACACCAAUGUGGCUGGGCGUGGUGGCUCAUGCCCAUAAUCCCAGCAGUUUGGGAGGCCGAGGUGGGCAGAUCACCUGAGGUCAGGAGUUCGAGACCAGCCUGGCCAAGAUAGUGAAACACUAUCUCUACUAAAAAUACAAAAAUUAGCCAGGCAUGAUGGUUCUCGCCUGUAAUCCCAGCUACUCCAGAGGCUGAGGCAGGGGAAUCACUUGAUCCUGGGAGGUGGAGGUUGCAGUGAGCCGAGAUUGCACCACUGCACUCCAGCCUGGGCAACAGAGUGAGACUCCAUGUCAAAAAAAUAAAAAAUAACACCAAUGUUAUUUUCUGGCUCUGAUCACUGUGCUGUGGUUAUGUAAGACACCAUCACUGGGGAGAGCUGGCAAAAGAUACACAGGAACCCUCCAAGCUAUUUGUGCAACUUCCACGAGAGACUGGUCCAAAAUAAAAAGUCUGGACAACACUUUAAUCACAUGUAAGGUUACAAAACAUUAAAAGAAAAAUAAAUAAAUAAAUAAAUAAAAGAUACACUAGCCAUGAAAGAUGGCUCCAAGUGUUUAAAAGACCUUUAUUUCAAAAUGAAAACUUCCCGUGUUAAGUUUGACAGCCGUGCUCAUGCCUAGUAAUACUUGACAGUGGAGGAAUGUGGAAGGAGCCGUGGAGGUCACCCAGCCUGGGGGCUCUGCCCAGCCCCUCCAUUUGCUCUGUGUACAUGUGUAUAUACCUGUUUGUCCAAGAACCCUUUACCUUCUGGAUCGGCCAAGUCCCAUAUCUGCGGAAACACAAAAAUGCUCAUAAGCAUGACUGCCGAUCACUGUCCACGUGUUAACAAAAACCAGAGCCGCCACCACCCCAUCACUGGCCUUGCGGGGCAGGAGUGACUGUCCCCAGGUUGUCCUGCAGAUGAAGAAGCCAAUUCAGAGCAGGUGAAUGAUCUGCCCAGGGGCGCACAGCCAGUCAGCGGCAGGGCCCAGAGGACAUCCAGGUGCACUCAGCUCCCAAGCCAAUGGUGUUUAUGACACCCUUCUUCCCCCAACUAAAGUCCGCAAGUGGCCAAGCGCGGUGGUUCACGCCUGUAAUCCCAGCACUUUGGGAGGCCAAGGCAGGCAGAUCACCUGAGGUCAGGAGUUCGAGACCUGGCCAACAUGACAAAGCGAGACACCAUCUCUACAACAAAUACAAAAAUUAGCCAGGCGUGGUGGCAUGCACCUGUAAUCCCAGCUACUUGGGAGGCUGAGGCAGGAGAAUCGCUUGAACCCAGGAGGCGGAGGUUGCAGUGAGCCGAGAUCGUACCACUGCACUCCAGCCUGGGUGACAAGAGUGAAACUCUGUCUCAAAAAUAAAAAGAAAAAAAUAAUAAUGCCCGGAUUAUGGUCAGCGUCUCUGGGGGACGCCAACACCUGUGAAUGUAUAAAGAAGUGAAAGUUGUAAUCCCAAACAGCACUUUGGGAGGCCGAGGCAGGCAGAUCACGAGGUCAGGAGCUCAAGAUCAGUCUGGCCAACAUAGUGAAACCCCGUCUCUACUAAAAAUACAGAAAAUUAGUCAGGUGUGGUGGUGUGCGCCUGUAAUCCCAGCUACUCAGGAGGCUGAGACAGGAGAAUUGCAUUAAUCCGGGAGGCAGAGAUUGCAGUGAGCCGAGAUCGCGCCACUGCACUCCAGCCCAGGCGACGGUGCGAGACUCCGUCUCAAAAAAAAAAAAAAAAAAAAGAAGUGAAAGUACAGAGAAAACUACCAUGACAAAAUGAAAAUAGAAGGAAAAUAGCAUAAAGAUCUGAAAGGGGAGAGGGAAAAAGUCAAAAAAAAAAAAAAGAGGAAAAGAAAGGGGGAAACACUGAAAAGGCAGAAAAAACUAGAAUAACAUGAAAAAGCAAGAAAAGCCAGAGAUUUAGGAGCCAUCAUUUUAAAACAGACAAAGACAUCAUGGAAAAGACAUAGGAGGUAAGUGUGUAUAGCAACAGCAGCCCCAAGAUGGCUGCCCCCCUCGUGCUUGGAGGCAGUGACACCAUUCCUGGGUGAGGGGUACAGGAAGGAGUGGCUAUCACCCUUAGCAUCUUACAACCUCGUUAGAUGACAGUGUCCAGCCAUCACACCUGUGUCAACUUCUGGGCUCAAACUCCAGCUUAUUUCCAAAAUAUGUCUCCCCAGAGGAAGAAGACCCACAGAAAGGAGGCCAAGGCAGGCAGGCUGUUUGUCAUCUGUCAGUAAAGGUGACAGUGGUCAGGUCUAGGCAGCAAACAGCACAUCGCCUGCCAUGGGUUCACAGACUCCAGAGGCCCUCACUUCAGAUGACAAAGGUGCCCUUCC
rnacentral:lncRNA from 10 species